rnacentral:lncRNA from 13 species
AUUUGUAGUAGUAUGUUCUUCUGUUUUUUUAGUAGAUUUUGCUCUCAGUCUACAGUCAUCUGCUUUAUGCCAUCUAGAAUAUCCUCACUCUCUUAGUUUGCUGGUGAUUAUUGUGUAUUUCUCAUGCCUUUGAAUUGAAAAUAUAUUUAUUGUGUAAUUUCCUAUGGAUUUAAGGAGGGGAAUAUAUUUUUCUGGAAUUCUCUUUCUUUCUGAUAUGCUUUCUCCCUUUUUCUUUAUCAUCAAUGACUUACUCUACCUGCCAUUUAUCUUCACCUAUGAUUUAGAAGGCAAAAUGGAUCUUGCAAAUUUGAUAAAGUUAAAUACUUCAAGAAAGGGAGAUCUUGAUUAUUCAAAUGGACACUAUAUGCAACCACAACUCUCCUUGUAAGUGAGAGGCAGAGGGAAUUUGGACUACAGCAAUAAGACAUGAUGAGGAAAGCAAGUGACUGGAGUGAUAUGUCAUGGCCAAGGAAUGAAAAGAAAAGGUGGCAGGAAGUUGGAAUAAGCAGAAGAUGAAUCUCCCCUGGUCCCCUAGAGGGAACCAACUAUGCCAGCCGAUUUAUUUUCGCUUCAUAAGACUUCUCACUUCCAGAACUAUAAGACAAUAACUUUGUGUCAUUUUAAACUACUUUGUUAUAUUUUGUCAAAGUACAAUAGGAAAUUAAUAAAAUGACCAUUUUGGCAUCUGAAGUUUAUCUC